ACAGUCACAUCACGUUGAAACACCGGUUCACGUACGAUCACCGAAUUUAAGCAAUGUCAAGCCUGGUCACUACUUAGAUGGAUGACCGCUUGGGAAUACAAGGUGCUAUA